rnacentral:tRNA from 1 species
GCCCCUGUAGCUCAGAGGUAGAGCGCCUGUCUCGUAAACAGGAGGUCGUGGGUCCAAUUCCCAUCGGGGGCU